CUACAUGAAGCUGGAAUCGCUAGUAAUCGCGAAUCAGAAUGUCGCGGUGAAUACGUUCCCGGGUCUUGUACACACCGCCCGUCACACCAUGGGAGUCGGAAAUGCCCGAAGUCAGUGACCUAACCGAAAGGGAGGAGCUGCCGAAGGUGGAGCCGGUAACUGGGGUGAAGUCGUAACAAGGUACC
rnacentral:rRNA from 1 species